GAUCCGGUGACAUAAUGGUUAGCGUGCUGCACUCCGGACUGAGCGGUCCAGGUUUGAGCCCUGGUCUGGGUCA